GACGAAGGGGGCUAGCGUUGUUCGGAAUUACUGGGCGUAAAGCGAGUGUAGGUGGUUGUCCAAGUUGGAUGUGAAAGCCUUGAGCUCAACUCAAGAAAUGCAUUCAGGACUGGGCGGCUAGAGGACCGGAGAGGAUAGUGGAAUUCCCAGUGUAGUGGUGAAAUACGUAGAGAUUGGGAAGAACACCAGUGGCGAAGGCGGCUCCCUGGUCCGUCCCUGACGCUGAGACGCGAAAAGCGCGGGGAGCGAACGGGG
rnacentral:rRNA from 1 species